CCUGCCUACUGGCUCCCCUGUCUAUGCCUGAUUCGGAAUUACCCCUCUGAGCUAAAACACAACAUCUCAUCCUAGACCUAGAAUAGAAAUGAUUACAUUCCAAGAGACUGGCGUCUGACAUGGAUGAUUGUUAAACCAUGGAGAUGCUGCCUUUGUCACCACCGAGAACAAGUCGGCACAAGUCGUCACCGGUAACCUAUCAGAAGUCAGGAAGAGCCCUGCAUGCCUCGAAAUGAUGCCCCAGGAAGACCCCAAGAAGACCUCCCCUCCCCAGCUACCUCUGCCACCGCUGCUGAAAUAAAUCCUAGUGUGUAACGGUCGUCAUCGGUGGAAGAAGAAGAGGACCAAGGUGCAG